rnacentral:rRNA from 1 species
UACGAAGGGGGCUAGCGUUGUUCGGAAUUACUGGGCGUAAAGCGCGCGCAGGCGGCUAUCCAAGUCAGUGGUGAAAGCCCGGAGCUCAACUCCGGAACUGCCAUUGAAACUGUUUAGCUUGAGGACGAGAGAGGUGAGUGGAAUUCCCAGUGUAGAGGUGAAAUUCGUAGAUAUUAGGAAGAACACCAGUGGCGAAGGCGGCUCACUGGCCCGGUACUGACGCUGAGGCGCGAAAGCGUGGGGAGCAAACAGG